rnacentral:tRNA from 1 species
GGGAUGUUGGAAGGUCGGUUGACCUGCAUGGCAUGCAGGGGGUCAGGAGUUCGAGUCUCCUUGGCUCCACUA